rnacentral:rRNA from 1 species
GAUGAACGCUGGCGGCGUGCCUAACACAUGCAAGUCGAGCGAGAAAUGAAGAGAAGAAACUUCGGUAGAUUUUCAUCAUGGAAAGCGGCGGACGGGUGAGUAACGCGUAGGCAACCUGCCCCGUACAGGGGGAUAGCCAUCGGAAACGAUGAUUAAGACCCCAUAAAGCGGAAUAUACACAUGUAAAAACCGUCAAAGAUUUAUCGGUAUGGGAUGGGCCUGCGUCUGAUUAGAUAGUUGGUAGGGUAACGGCCUACCAAGUCAACGAUCAGUAGCCGACCUGAGAGGGUGAACGGCCACAUUGGAACUGAGACACGGUCCAAACUCCUACGGGAGGCAGCAGUGGGGAAUAUUGCACAAUGGAGGGAACUCUGAUGCAGCAACGCCGCGUGAAGGAAGAAGGUCUUCGGAUCGUAAACUUCUGUCCAAAAGGAAGAAGGAAGUGACGGUACUUUG